rnacentral:rRNA from 1 species
GAUGAACGCUGGCGGCGCGCCUAACACAUGCAAGUCGAACGGAAGGGCCUGAUUUCCCUUGUGCUUUGCGGGGCGUCGAGUGGCGAAGGGGUGAGUAACUCGCGAGUGAUUUGCCCCCAGCUUAGGUAUAGGAACGGGAACCUGGGCCUAAUUACGGAUUGGACGGCAGGGUGGUGCAUGUGGAGGAAAACGAUCUUUUAGUGGUAGGGGGUGAGCUGGCGGCUUAUCUGCUUGUUGGUGGGGUAACGGCCAACCAAGGCGACGCUGGCUAGCCGGAGUGGGAGGGUGAUGGGGCACAGUGGCACUGAGACAGGGUCCCGACCCAGACGGGAGCGAGCAGUAGGGAAUGUUAGUCAAUGGGCGUAAGCCUGAUCCUGAUACACCGCGUGCGCGAGGAAGGUCUUCGGCUUGUAAAUCUCUGCUCCUUGGGACGACGAGAAGGGCACCUAGUUGGAAGGGUGGUGACGGUACUGAAAGAAGAAGCACCGGCUAACUACGUG